rnacentral:rRNA from 1 species
CCUACGGGGGGCAGCAGUGAGGAAUAUUGGUCAAUGGGCGGGAGCCUGAACCAGCCAAGCAGCGUGAGGGAAGAAGGUACAGCGUAUCGUAAACCUCUUUUGUCAGGGAACAAAGGCGGGUACUAGUACCCGGUUGAGGGUACCUGAAGAAAAAGCAUCGGCUAACUCCGUGCCAGCAGCCGCGGUAAUACGGAGGAUGCGAGCGUUAUCCGGAUUUAUUGGGUUGAAAGGGUGCGCAGGCGGGCGGUAAAGUCAGCGGUAAAAGUCCGGGGCUCACCCCCGGCGAGCCGUUGAAACUGGCGGGCUGGAGUUCGGGAGAAGUAGGCGGAAUUCGCGGUGUAGCGGUGAAAUGCUUAGAUAUCGCGCAGAACCCCGAUUGCGAAGGCAGCGUACCGGCUCCACACUGACGCUGAGGCACGAAAGCGUGGGUAUCGAACAGGAUUAGAUACCCCAGUAGUC